CAGUCGUACUUGCGGAUAAUCAGCCUUUCGGGUGCGAUUCUGUGGGCCGUGAGGAGCUUAACCGCCUUCAUGUUUUGCAUAUUCGUGCACAUUUGGUGUAACUUGUCCGUGUGGUGGGUUAACAUCAAUUUCGGUCGUCAUAAAAUGAUUGGAGGAAUGUAGCUUUGGUCUCGUAUCGAAGUGUUAUAGCCUCUGGUAGAUGCGGUGACCGAAACUGAGGAUUGCAACGAAUACCCUUCUGGGCUAUCCGUCUGACCUCUGAAAGUUGCUUAGGUGCUGAAAGCUUGCUUAUGGCUAUCAAAGUCGAUGGUCAAUAGGUUAGAACGGUUAAAUUCGUUAAGGAUGUUGUCGUAAUGG
rnacentral:rRNA from 1 species